rnacentral:lncRNA from 1 species
CUAAUUUGAACUCCCCAAGUUACCAGACCCCCAAUGCUGCAACAUUAUCCCUUUGAAUCCUCACCCUUACUACUGCAACCAAUUUCUCACCCUUGUUGCUGUCCAUUUCACAACAUGAUGAUCUAAGUUCCUGUAAUAUUAACUUAUUUUUCCACUCUCCACCUAAAUAAUAGUACUUGCAAUUUCCCUCUUUACUCUCUCAGCCCAUCAUUCACAAGCUAUCAAUGAAAGUUCUGUAAAUACUAGAUUUCCUCUAUGCAUUCUAUUGUUAAAAUAGAGCAUGUAUUAUACUAUACCCUGUUGGUUUGAGCAUGUGACAAGCUCUGCAUGUGUGUUUUUGGCAUUGUAUAUAUCUACCACUUGUGCAUUCAGUAUAACACUACUCAAAUUCCUCUGGAUUUAAUUCCAUAUAGUACAUAAGACUUGCCAUUCAGUGAAGUUUACAUCAAGUGUUAGCUUGCACUGCACUUUCACAAGAAUUUCUUUACAUUCCUGUGUGGAUCUUGCACUCUGCAUACUGUCAAUUGUGAGCAUGUUGGAAACUCCACAAUUGUGAGUGUUUUUUUAUUUUUUUAAAUAAAUUUUUCACUUUUAUAGCACCUAUAAGAAUGUGAGAAUUACUACACUUUUAGUGCGCUCUUGCUUUAUAACUCUUAAGGUGACACACUUAGGACAAUUAUCCUAAGAGGGGAUUGUACUGCUAUACACUGCCCAUACUAGAGCUUAUAUAAUAGAGAAAAUUUAUGACAAACUUACCGUAAUUUUCUUUUCCUGGCUAUUUCUCAUGGCAGCAUCACUUAUGGGUAGCUCCCCCCGUAGCAGUCACAGGACAGAAAUUAAUUAGAUUAAUUAAUUAGACUGAUAGGUAUAAAGAGUCCCUCCUCUCCCUACCCUUCAGUCCAAUUAUAAAGCGGGAAAAAAAUUAAAGAAUGGGCGGGAACCCUGAUGCUGCUAUGAGAAACAGCCAGGAAAAGAAAAUUAUGGUAAGUUUGUCAUAAAUUUUCUCUAUUCCUGGCUAAUCAUGGCAGCAUCACUUAUGGGUAAUACCCAAACUGUAAGAUAUAUAGGGUGGUGUGGCGAAAGUGACCUCGCCACUGGUUUUUGGAGGGGCCUGUUUGCCAGCCACCUGCCCUGUGACUAUGGCACUGGGAUGUAUUGCCCUUCUAUGAACUGAUUUUGGCAUAUUGUAUUUUAUUAUGCUGCUGGCCCUUUAAGAACCAUCUGGGGACAUACUGUGGAGUUACUGGGUGGCCACCAUUUCAUGUAUAAGAGGCACAUGGUGAGAACAAUGUAUGGCGGCCAUUUUAACUCACAGACACUGUUUUGACUUUUCUACAUGGUGCCAUCUCGCCGGUAUUUGGUGCACAAAGACAUCGUUCAGUAGUUUUAAACUACAGAACAGGGGACACAUUUAACAGUAAUUAUUUUUCAUAUAGCCUGUAUAUGUUCUGUGGAAUCUGCAUUAAACCGUAUCUUCCAAACUAUUGAAUGGAUAUGGGGUUAUUGCAUGUUUUGGGGUCCCUGUGAUAUGUUUUAUAAUACUGUAUUUCUCUGCCUGGGAUAAUUAUAUUAACCAUUGUGUUCAGUAAUCUUAUCAUAGGCAGAGGGGAGGAUUUUGUGUGGGAGUGUCUGUAUUGUACGGAUUGAUUGGUUGUAUUUCAAAACCCUG